GGGCCCAUAGUCUAAUGGUAAAACAUCUGAUUUGCAAUCAGAGGCUCCGAGUUCGAUUCUCGGUGGGUCCA
rnacentral:tRNA from 1 species